rnacentral:rRNA from 1 species
GUCCACGCCCUAAACGAUGCAUAUUUGGUGUGGGCAGUUCAUUCUGUCCGUGCCGGAGCUAACGCGUUAAAUAUGCCGCCUGGGGAGUACAGUCGCAAGGCUGAAACUCAAAGGAAUUGACGGGGGCCCGCACAAGCGGUGGAGCAUGUGGUUCAAUUCGACGCAACGCGAAGAACCUUACCUGGGCUCGAACGGCUGGUCAACGGCGGUGGAAACAUCGCUACCCCGCAAGGGGGUCCAGUCGAGGUGCUGCAUGGCUGUCGU